CUAUGACGAUAUAUAUAUAAAAUGUUCUGCGCCCGUUACCUAGCUAGUCUAACCAGUAGUGUUCGUCGAACAAAGUUAAAGUCCCGCUACCGCCAUCCCAACUACAAAACGUGGAGCAUUCAGAGUUGACGUUAGUAUCGGAACAACACUAAUUAUUUGACGGUCCCUGAAGUUGUGCACGAAAACUACUACCAGGAUCUUCAGAUUAUACUUCAAGUUCUAGUCAGUUCAUCAUGAUUAUGCGUCCCGAAAUAACUCUGUUCAUUCUGUUCACUAUCAUUAUGCUUGCAAUCGGCGUUCCAUACUUCUAUGGAUGCAAGAGCCCUGCCGACUGUGAACCCGGAGAAUGUUGCGUGAUUGGUAUGAAUCGAUACAGUUUUCCUCGU
rnacentral:misc_RNA from 1 species